AGGGUGAAAAAGGUAGCAUUCAAUUGUACUUUUUGAUGGAAACAAAUGAGGGGAACAAGUCUAGUUGGCGCCGUGCAUUUUUCUUUGUUGCUCUGUAGCAACUAAAAUAAAAGUUACAAAUAUAGUGGUACGAAGGCGGUUACGGUCUUCCAAUAGGCCUAGCUCAGUAUCGCUGCAUUGGUAUCACUGACUGACACCGGUAGGACUGGUUUGAAUUGAAGUGAAGGAGUUUAGUAAAUAAAGGUAAAGUCAUGUGUGGGUUUGCUCUGUGGGGAAGGUUGCACAGGAUGGCACGGCAGACUGAGCAAGCUUUGGAUGUCAGCGCAACUCAGCUCGGAGUCUGAAUCGAAAAUUGCGAUACUGGGAAAGUGUUGCAAGGAGAAGCAAACCCACUAGGAGCCAGGACGCACUGUGGAAAAUGUGACAUACUGGAGAGAGAAGAAGGAUUAACCUGCAAGAGAGAUCGGAGAGGGGUGUCUGCUGGUGGGUGGAGGCGACGUCGUCUUGUAAGACGUCGGGCGUCGUCGCAACCUCCACAUCAGUGCUUCACCCUUCCCCUCCACAUGCCGGGCUGUCCGUGUCACCCUACACACAGAGAGAUUGCUGUCGUCUCUAGAAUAUAAUCCAACAGAAACCCCACGAGAUGGGCUUGUGUGUGACUGCCUAAACAAACGAAUAUCCUGAGAUCAUUUUGUCUGAGUGUCAUCCAAAUCUUGGUCGGACUAAAAUCCUAACAAUUCCUGUCAAAUACAAAAGGACAAAUUCCUUCUUGAGAAGCUACUAGUCACUCAGAUUGCCAAGAAAUUCCCUGCGUUUCAUGAAAUGCAAAUGUAGUCUAUAUUAAGCCUAUGUUUUCACAAGACCUCGCCUCUGUACUCUAUCUUGAGCCAGAUUAAUCCAUAUAUAGGAAUGCAUUUUCGUUAUGAAGCUAAUAGAAUAAAUGUUUUCUGUCUCUCAGGUUUCCUUUAUUUUUUACAUUACAUGCAACUAAAUAAAUAUUAAAUAUUUGCUCAGUUAAUAGCUUAUUAACAAGAUCCUUUUAUUGAAAGAUGUGUUUAAUUUUCUCGAUACAAGUUUGCUGCUGUUGAAAAUGAUUCCGAUUUGUGAAGAAGGUUCAGCUGUGUA